rnacentral:rRNA from 1 species
UACGGAGGAUCCAAGCGUUAUCCGGAUUCACUGGGUUUAAAGGGCGCGUAGGUGGAAUGACAAGUCAGUGGUGAAAACCUGCAGCUUAACUGUAGAACUGCCAUUGAUACUGUUAUUCUUGAGUACAUUUGAUGUGAGUGGAAUGUGUCGUGUAGCGGUGAAAUGCUUAGAUAUGACACAGAACACCAAUUGCGAAGGCAGCUCACAAAACUGUAACUGACACUGAGGCACGAAAGCGUGGGGAUCAAACAGG